GGAAUGAAGGAAUCAUGAACAUGAUAGCUUUUCAGGAUCCUCUGUAGGGACAUCUGACCUCUGCAGUGAGAAGAUGCUGUGCCUGAGCCACUGCCCCACGAGCAUCUGGGUGCUGGGCUGCAUUCACGUAUUGCAGAGCCAUUCCAGCCGACCUGCAGACUUGCAGCCUGAAGCUGAGCCAUGCAGCAGACAUGCAGACUCCUGAGUGGGAUCUGACUAUUUAUUUUUGUCUGUCACUGUGAUUGGGGGAUUGUUACAUAGCAAUGCCUAACAGUUACAUGUGCGAAUUUCAUUUAUUAAUAUUUCAGAAAAUUUAUUAAGUUAUUGGAAAUAAAACAUGUGUUUAGGCUGAGUUUUAUUGUUUGGGGUAAAAAAAAGUGGUGACUAACAUAAUAAUAUGUAUGUACUUGCUUUAUAUGUAUACUUGACUUUCCAAAAUGAUUAUCUGGAAAAGGACAGCCUGUGUCUGUAUAUGUACGUCUAGGAAUGUAUGACCAAAGAAGCAAAGUACACAAAGUCACCAUUGUGCUUUGUUAUAUGUAUUAUCUCCUAAUUAGGUGUCUUGAUUAUGGUUUCUUAGCUUUUGUUGGUUUUGCACCAAUUUUCAGUUUCAUAGAC
ensembl:lncRNA